GGACUUGGAGUCCCCGCCACUCAGAGACCGCGCCUGCCGGGGUCGCCAGACUCGGGCUCCCGCCCACGUGGCGCGCGGGAUUCAACGCGCGACGCCGCCUCCGCCCCGCCCGCCCCCUCCUCGGCCCAACUCGGACGCAGUUGGGGUCCUGAGUGCCCGCCCCCCACGGCCGGCCGGCGGAGGGCCCCGCGCCGCUGCCUCCGCUCCGGCCCGCUCUCCGCUGCUCUCAGCUCCCGCGACGGGAAAAGUGGGCGCCGGCGGCGGCUCCCCCGCCCGGGUAGCGCGCUCCUCACCGGCGCGGGGCUGUGGGUCCUCGGCGCCCAGGGCUCCUGCGGCGGCGGCGCCGGAGGUGUCCCGCGGUCCCAGGGCCCCGCCCGGGAGACGCCCUCGCCCGAAGCCGCGAGGCCGGGCUGCGGCCACUCCCUCCCCUCCCGGAGAGUGGCGGGCUUUGCGCGGGGAGCCGGAGUCGAGCUGCCGAGAAAGCCCCGGGGGACUUUGCUCAGCGGGACCCUGGAACUCUUCUGCUAGAGUAACCGAGAGCUACGGGCUGCUGCGGGGCUGGAGGAGCUGAGCUGACGAUCCGCACGUUGGCGGUGACCGGGUCUCCGCACACAAAGGCCACUCCACCUGGGUGACCACCACCGCGUCUUGAGUCCCGAAGUGGCGGCGAGGCGGUCGGAGAGGUAUUUGCUGAGCACCUGGUAUGUUCAGGAUACUGAUAAAGAAGUGUGUGCGAGAUGGUGUAGAAAGUCAUGAGCCUUUAUACGAGACUGUAGAAGAAGCAGGUCAUCUGAUGGCAGGACUGCUAGGGAAGUAAAGUAUGAAGAAUGCACGUGUGUCUCCAAAGGCAAACUGGCCACAUGUCAUCCCUACGAUGGCCAGAGGUGAUGGCCUGGAAGAGCUGUGGCCAGUGAGGAGGGACCAGAUUCCUUGGAAGAUGAUGGCCACUGCAGAGUGCACACUCCACUCAGAUCAGGUUGUUGACCUCUUUUUCUUCUUUUCAUGAUGUCCACCCAUUCCUAUGCAUGCCACAUGUAGCGUCACCAACAUACCAUCUCCAGGUUGCUCUCCAGGAAGAAUGAAUACGUGGAAGAUGACGUUUGAUUCUUCCUGCUGGCUGCUGACCCUAGAGAGACAUCAUGGACAACAUGGACACUCACUUCAACAUGAGGCUACUGAGACGUGUUAUCAGGUACAUAAAGCUGAAUUGAGAAGAGGGCAUACACAUGAAAAUGACUUAGGGACACAAACAGGUGCAGAUUAAUGAAGUACCCCAGGAAUUGAUGUCUGUGAUGGGCUGCCGAUGAGGACCUGAGGUCCUUAGUCGAACAGCCUGUGAGGAACUCAAUCCUGACAACAACCAUGUGAUGAGCUUGGAAGGGGCCCUUCUCCAGGUGAGACAACAUGGACUUAGAGACAUAUGUGAGCCUUGUGUUAGCCACCCGGAAGGACCAGCAAGGGGCAUUGUGGAGAUGAGAACUGAGAUUUGCUCUAUGGAAAUCGCAAAAUUAAGAGAAACAGAUGUGACUCCAAGGCCAAGGGUCCUACAAUUGGAAAGAACACCAAUACCACACUAUGAAAUCAGGCUUUGAGGCCCACAGAAGGCUCAGCCAUUGUGCUGCCAUGCUGACCCUCCCUUCUGAAGGUGAAGAUCUGAUUGUAUUCUACUGCUUACAUAAACUGCCUCUCUAAGGGAUUGUCACUGUCAGUACACGCUGUGAUACCUUGUGAAGAUGAGAUUUGAUUUCUUCUCAACAAAUAGUCUUUCUUCCUCUCUUCACUGACAGAUAUGCUGAGAAUUACACUGCUUAGACUUUCUUCCCUUAGACCAGGAUUUCUCAGCCUCAUCAACUUUAUCACCGUUAACAUGUGCACUCAAAUAAUUCUUCUUUUUAUUUGUGGAGGGGGUCUGCCUUGUGAAUUGUAGGAUAUUUAACAGGCUCCCUGGACUCUACUCAGUAGUCCCCAAAAUUCCCGUGCAUCACCCCCCAUUUAUGGAUUGUGAAAGUCAAAACUGUCUAGCUUAGUUCAAUUAAGAAUUCCUGUUAAGAUUCUAGGAUGCCCAUUAAGCUGGCUCAUCAGCCAAUUACCCCUUUUUGUGCGUGAGUUUCAGAUUCCUUCUUGAGAAUAUGUAUUAAUGGAAUGGUGAUUGGAGGGAAAGAAAUGAGGAAAAACUCAUGAAUGUGAAGAUGAGGUUUCAGGCAUGAAGACAUUGACUGCUAAGACUUGGAGUGACAAACACUAAUUUCCUCUUUCUUACAUUUUGCCUCUCUUCUUUACAUUCUAACAUUUCCUGUUGAUUCACAUAUAUGUGUCUGUUACCAAAUUAGCAAAAAUAAUACAUUUUUAAAAUGUU